rnacentral:rRNA from 1 species
ACUCCUACGGGAGGCAGCAGUGGGGAAUAUUGGACAAUGGGCGCAAGCCUGAUCCAGCCAUGCCGCGUGGGUGAUGAAGGCCCUAGGGUUGUAAAGCCCUUUCGGUAGGGAAGAUAAUGACGGUACCUACAGAAGAAGCCCCGGCUAACUUCGUGCCAGCAGCCGCGGUAAU